rnacentral:rRNA from 1 species
AGCAAAUAGAUACCCAGGUAGUCCACGCCCUAAACGAUGUCGACUGGUUGUUGGGGGUUUGACACUCUCAGUAAACGAAAGCUAAACGCGUGAAGUCGACCGCCUGGGGAGUACGGCCGCAAGGUUAAAACUCAAAGGAAUUGACGGGGACCCGCACAAGCGGUGGAUUAUGUGGAUUAAUUCGAUGCAACGCGAAAAACCUUACCUACCCUUGACAUGUCCGAGAGCCCGCUGAGAGGCGGGUGUGCCCGAAAGGGAAUCGGAACACAGGUGCUGCAUGGCUGUCGUCAGCUCGUGUCGUGAGAUGUUGGGUUAAGUCCCGCAACGAGCGCAACCCUUGCCAUUAGUUGCCACCCGUAAGGGGGCACUCUAAUGGGACUGCCGGUGACAAACCGGAGGAAGGUGGGGAUGACGUCAAGUCCUCAUGGCCCUUAUGGGUAGGGCUUCACACGUAAUACAAUGGCGCGUACAGAGGGUUGCCAAGGAGCGAUCUGGAGCCAAUCCCGUAAAGCGCGUCGUAGUCCGGAUUGCAGCCUGCAACUCG